UCUUCCUCAAAAAAAAAAAAAACUUCCAUAUACAAUAUUUGCCAGUAUAUAAAAUUGCAAACAUAUACGAUAGUUUUCAUUUUACCCAAAAAAUUAUGUUGUGGUUUUCUUUAAAGAAAAAGAUAAUUACUUCAUAAUUAUGGAUUGAAAAUUAUUUUAAUUUGGUCUUGAAGAGGAAGCUGCUGUUUUGUUCAUUAUCAAUGGUAUAUAUUGAAACUACCAUUUUAAAAUUGGGUUACAAAUGGACAUCGGCUAAGCCCACGACUUUGAAGUCUCAGCAGAAAUGUACUUAACGCUCCUUUUCUCCUUCAGUCUGGCCACAGUGAACAUUUGCAGACCAUUUUCAGGACUACCAGAAUGCAGGGGAUAUAAGGAGGGCUGGAUGGAAAUGUGUCAACCUUCUGGGAAAGGCUGAAUGACAGUGACUUCCCAGAUUAAUAGAAUAGUAACAUUAAUUGGCAAAUACAAACACAUUCAACCUUAUGAAUAUAACUUUAAGCCAGACUGUUCUCAUCACCAACAUUUUUAGGCAGAAUCGUAUAUGUUGUUUCUCUAUUUGUGUGUUUUACAAAUGAAGAGGGACAAUAGUCACUUUUACAUUUCCUCUGUCACCUGAAAAUCAUGAUGGUCUGAAUUCAGUGGUUAAAAUAGACUAUUUUGUGUAAUUAAGGCUGCUAAAUAAUCCAAAUGACAAUCGACUCCUUAAAAGACCUUAAAACUAUUGAAUAACGGUGUGAUAAAGAGCUUUGAAAGGCUAGGAAAGAAGACGGACAAUGGCAGAGGUGGGCCUAGCAACAGCCAGGCUUUUAGAUGCCCCUCACUUCCUUUUUCCAUGUUAGAUGACUGAACAGCCCUCAUUUCUGUAAGUGUGACAGCACUUUUCUUAGGCCUGAAUUGGAUGUAGUUAUUUUAAGAGUAUCUAAAAGACAUAGUAGUAAGAGUAAGGAUUUAAUUUUAACAGCUCCACCACAACGAUAUACACAAUACCUUACGUUUUAAAAGGGCUUACCGUACUCAAAAAAAAAAAGAAAGAAAGAAACACGUGAGUGUUGUGUGCACAGUGGUUUACACAGAAUGAUUAUCAUUUGCUCUCGGGAAAUAAACUCCCUCUUGGCCUUAAAUUCCUAUAUUUCUUCACAGAGUUGAAAUGACAGUUAAAGGCAUUCAGAAAUUUAAAGUAACUGAUUUAACAACCUCGGACAAAGAGAACAUGUCUAAAAGUUUGUUUCAGUGUUUGACUUGACCUAAGAGAGUUUUCCUGAGACUUAUUUUCUAAACAGUACCCUAGCACCUUGGGCCAGCAAAAUGGCCUUUAAGCUUGAAUGAACAAGGUAUUUCUUUCCUCUAUUGUAAAGCUUCACUAUUUCAUCUUUUCAAACUCUUUUACUGCACUCAGUGAGGAAUUAUAUUGACAAGGGUAGAAUUUAUCUCCUAGAGGAGAAUGCUAUGCUUCUGUUAAGUGCUAAUAUAACAUUUAUGUGCUGGUACCUUAAUAACAGCCCCAGCUUACCUAAUGAAAGUUGAAAGCAAACAGUACUCUCUGAGAUUUUAUUAUGACUGAAGUGACUGCAAUUUGAGGCAAAUUAUCCCUAUUUUUGUUCCCAUAUCAAAAACAGAGAUGCUAAAGCAAUUGCUGCAUGUUUGGUAUGGAAUUAGGUUCCACUCUCAUUAAUCUACACGGAAGAGCAUUUUUCAUGUAAACAGCUCACGAGGGUCAGAGAGAAGAGCUGUUUCUGUGAAAAAUGCUUGUCAAUAACUUUGUGAGUGAAUUUUGAAAUAAAGUGCCUGUAACCUGUCAUUAUUCCUUCCUCUCAAAGUCAAGAGUGAGUGGCUGAAAAUUGAGCACGUGAAUUGAAAGCAGGGUGAGUGUUAUGGCCUUAUCGACUUCAGGUAAAAUGACUGUUUUAACUUGUUAUUAUUUUUCCAUUCAGAGGUCAGGCAAUGUACAGUAUUACCAGCAUGGACUGCAGUGUAAGCAAAUUGGUAUACAAAAAGGCUAUUACCCACACUCACAAAGAAGAGGAAAGUAUAAGUCACUAAUACCAAGAGGACUUGUGAUCGCUACAAAAGCGAAACAACCAACAAUGCUUUGGAAAAGAAUAGUGUGGAUGUGUAGAUAUAAAGCACCUAGGAGGCAGAAAAAAUAAACCUGUUUAUAUAAGGAUGCACAUGUUUAGAAGGCAGGUAAGAAAAUUUUAGUGAACAUUUUUUUUAAAUCACCUAUUAAUCAUACUUCAUUUGCAAAGGAAUUACGAGAUCUGAAUACUGAAUGUUAGACACCCAAACUCUACAUGUCACCUUAACAUUUCUUCCUACCUCAGAUCAUCUUAAGAGUAAUUAACUGUUGAAUUUUCAAGUCCAUCUGAUAGAUUCUUAUCAAAAGCAAAAUACUGCUGUGGUCUUCCUGUUCCCUAGAGAAAAAGAAAAUCAGUGAGACUUCAAAACAUCAAAAAACCCUUUCCUUGUCUUUGAGAUAUUUUUUUCCAAUUCUGAAGAACAGCUUAAGAAUUUAAUGUGGCUGUUUUAGAUUUGCAAGAAAAAUAUCUUGUCUCUAAGUAAUCUCAGGUCCAUAGAAAGUGUAUAUGUAAUACUAUUAUUCAAAUACUUUUAUUUUUCCUUUUAGAAGACCAUCUAGUGGUGUGUCUUUGAUACUGAUUUUUCCAUUAUAGACUGUGUUGAUCAGAAAAUGAGCAGAUUGGACUAGAAAUCAAAAGAGGUUAUAUAAGGACUAGAUAACAGUGAUUGAAAGCAAGUUUAAGGGGAGAGAAGGGUACAUAUAAUUUUGAAGACAUGUUCAUAUGUUUAUUCACCAAAUUUCCACAUAAUGUAAAAGGUUUGGGUUCUCUUACUUCUAAACAAGUUUUCCUGGCUUCAAAGUAAUUAUAACGGCCUAAGAUUAAAAGAAAUACAUUGGCAUUUCUUUGCUCUGCAUUUGAUAGUUUAUUCAUUUCUUUAAACAAAUAUUUACUGGUUGGACACUGUGCCAAUCAUGAUAAUACAGUAACUUCAGGAGAAGUUACCUUUAUCUAGUGAAGAAGAGAGGAAAAUAGUAAGGUAAGUUGCCAUGAUGCUACGAGAAGAAUGCAGUCUCCAUGGAGGUAAGGAUCUUUAUCUGCUUCUGUUCUGUUCAGGGAAAUAUCCCAACCUGGCAUACAGCAGACACCAGACAGAUAUUUGUUGAAUGCUGAAUGGACAUGAUUGGGGCGUGUACAGUGCAUUUAAGAGACUAUGAGAGAGUCAGAGAAGACUUUCUCAGUGAAACGUAGGUCUAACCUCCAGGAAUGUUGACAUGAUUAAACCAAGCAGAGUUGGAACAGCAUCUUCUGUAUCAAGGGAGCAGAGAAUUCCAAAACUGAAGUUAGAGAGACCAGAGAGUUGGAUGAAUUGCUGUUAAUUCUUCUUGGCUCCAGCAAUGAGUGAGGGGUGGGGCACGCAGAGUUGGUUGAAGUAAAUAGAGGCCAGACCUAAAAGACCAUGUAAGCCAAGCCAUGAAGUUUGAGCAUUAGAUCAAAAGCUAUUGAAUGAUAUUAAGCAUGCAGGGCUUAAAAAAAAGGGAGUGGGGGACCGACAUAUCUUAGAAAAAGACUACGCUGACUGGAAUAUAGCAAAUGGAUUGAAGAAGACUGGAAUUGAGGUGCCCAGUUGGAAAGCUUUACAGAAAUCCAAGCAACAUAUAAAUGACAGUGGCCUAAAUUAAGGUAGAAGUAAAGGGACAGAAAGAAAUAGGUAUAUUGAAGUGAUAUUAAGGAGUUAGAAAUGACAAGACUUGGUGGCUGCUUGGAUGAGGUGGGGAGAAGUUGGUAAGGAAGAUGGAAGAGACAAGGACAAGACUUAGUUCUCCAGCCUUGGACAACUGAGUGGAUGGAUGACAUUUCCCAAGUUGAGGAAGGAAUGUUUGGUAGGGAAGGUGGCCAGUUUACUUUUAGAUGGGCUGAGUUGUUUAAAGCGUCAUGUUGUUAUAGCCCAGGUUUCCAUACUGGUCCCCUUCUUCCUAUACUCACAGACUAGAUUUUCAUGAAUCCAUUACAAAUGGAUGAAACAAAUCUAGGUACCUACUAUGGUAGUUAUGGGCAUACUUUUCUUACAUACAAUACAAAUUGCAUUCUUCAACAUAAAAACAUUCUUCUUCCUUCAUAAAAGUCUUUCUGAAAUGCAGAGGUAUACAAGAGUAAACUGUUUCUAAGAGCUAAGUUAUUGUAAUUAUCCUGAAUUGUGACUAGUCAAUGGAGAGCAGGACGCCACAAAGUGACUACAAAUCAUGUGCUGUACCCUUUAGGAGUUAAUUGUGAGUAAUUAUGAGGUAAAUAAACUUCAAUAUUUUUGCAUUUCAGUUGUGUGACAUGUAAGGACUAGAGUAAUGAGUUGAAUUGAAUAUAUCUGCCCACAUAUGUUUAUAAUGUAAUUUUAAAAUUUUUUAGAUCUCUUGGUUUUUACCGAAGACAUUAAACUAGAGAUACAAAACCUAUUCAAAGUGAAAACAUAAAUAAUAGGACUCCUACUUUAUAUAGGAAGAACGUGCCAAUGACCUGGUGGUAGAGAGAGUUCCCCAUCUCUCCAGAGAUGCUGCGAUUGAGUGGUACAUCACUGCAGUGGCAGAUGAACCAUUCAGCAGGAGGCAUUUGGCUUUGAAGAAGAUAUCCGAGGGUUUUCAAAUCGAAUGUGGAGCUGUGGCAUCCAGUUCUACUUCCAGCGCGUCUAUCUCCAUUUCUCUAAAAUGGGCCUCACCUUCUAUUUCUUCACCUGAUUUAAACAGGACUCUAGAAGUCCUGAUGACCAGGUUUGUACAAGCAAGGCGAAGACUCUCUGAAGACAACCAAGUUGCGCCAUUGUGUUUUAGGAUAUUCUAUAUAAAAGACAGCAUUAAUGCUGAAGUCCUGCAAGCAGGUAAGGGAACCAUUAGAAAAGUGAGGGGAAAGCACAGACUGUGGAAUCAUAUCAUAUAUGCUUGUCAAAGAGAGAGAGAGAAUAACAUAAGCAGCAUAGGAGAUUUUUGCCCCCAGCCCAGUUAGUGAGAGUGAACAUGAGAUGGGAGAUGUGAAUGUACUGUUCCCUCUGUUGAUCUCAGUUCUCUUAGCCUUUUGUAUGAACCUCUCAUUCUCCUACACAUGAUUCCAGUGUUUAAAGAAAUGUAUUUUUCCUACUAUAUAACCCUCUUUAUUAUAUUCCAAACCAUGUUGUACGCAAUAUACAUUUUUACAUACGUAUUAAUGAAUAGGUUUGUGUACAAAGUACCAAAAAUACUAUACUUUAGAGAUGACUUGUAGGGUUUAGACCAACCCAGUGUAAUUCUGACUUCACGGCACAUAAGCGAGAGCCAAAAUCUCAUCCCCAAAAGCAGCUCUGACACAAAAGGGAGCUUCACUAUUCAUGUUCCAAACGCAUUUUACUAAAAGGGCUUUGAUUCAUCUUCUAAGAGACAGAAACAGGCCAGUGUGCACUAGGCAUAUUUCUCCGUGUGGCUGGCUACCAAAGCAAGAGGUUUGAACCAAUAGGCACACUUCAUUCUCAUCAAACAAGUCAUGCUCAGGAGUCAGAACUUUCAGCCUACCAACUGGUUCGUUUCCAAUUUGAAUAGCAGCGGGACGUUCUCACUCCUUCACAGGCUGAUGCGAGUUUUGAUUUUCAUUGGACCAGCCUCAUGUAAAUAGGAUUCACUGACUGAAUUUGUUUCAGAACGAUCAAUCCCGAUUUGAUGUACUAUUCCUUUAUCACAUUAGCCUAAAUUGCCUGUAAAGCCCCUCUGUGGGUUUUAAAAUGUUCUUGUACCUCAGGCCUUACUAUAGGUGCAUUUGAAUGCAAUAUUUGCAGAUUGAAUUGUACUUUGGACAUUUUAUGGAAGUUAGCUUUUAAAAUGCAUUAUUUCCCAUAUUGGAUAUUUCUAAAGUAAAGUGAAUACCUAUUUGCUCAUUCAUCUUUUGUUUAAA